AGGGUGCAGGGCGGAUGCCUUGGCACUAGGAGCCGAUGAAGGACGUGAUAAGCUGCGAUAAGCUUCGGGGAGUUGCACGUAAACUUUGAUCCGAAGAUUUCCGAAUGAGGAAACUCACUUAGAGUAAUGUCUAAGUAUCGUUAAGUGAAUACAUAGCUUAGCGAGGGGAACCCGGGGAACUGAAACAUCUAAGUACCCGGAGGAAGAGAAAGAAAUUCGAUUCCGUAAGUAGCGGCGAGCGAACGCGGAACAGGCCAAACCAAUGAAGUUUACUUCGUUGGGGUUGCGGACAUACAACAUGGAUGCAAUAUCGUAAAUGAAGAGAGUUGGAAAGCUCCGCCAUAGAAGGUAAUAGCCCUGUAGUUGAAACGAGAAAGCUACUAGUAUGAUCCAGAGUACCACGGGACACGUGAAACCCUGUGGGAAGCAGGAGGGACCAUCCUCCAAGCCUAAAUACUACCUAGUGACCGAUAGCGUAUAGUACCGUGAGGGAAAGGUGAAAAGAACCCCGGGAGGGGAGUGAAAUAGAACCUGAAACCCUGCACUUACAAGCUGUGGGAGCACAUUACUUGUGUGACCGCGUACUUUUUGUAGAACGGGCCAACGAGUUACGUUAAGUAGCAAGGUUAAGCACUUAAGGUGUGGAGCCGUAGCGAAAGCGAGUCUUAAAUGGGCGAUUAAGUUACUUGGCGUAGACCCGAAACCGGGCGACCUAUCCAUGAGCAGGUUGAAGCGAAAGUAAAAUUUCGUGGAGGACCGAACCCACGAGCGUUGAAAAGCUCGGGGAUGACUUGUGGAUAGCGGUGAAAUUCCAAUCGAGCCCGGAGAUAGCUGGUUCUCCCCGAAAUAGCUUUAGGGCUAGCCUCAAGCGUAGAGAAACGGAGGUAGAGCACUGAAUGUCCUAGGGGGUAUUGCACUUACCGAAGACUAUCAAACUCCGAAUGCCGUUUUCUUUUACUUGGGAGUCAGACUGUGGGUGAUAAGAUUCAUAGUCAAAAGGGCAACAGCCCAGAUCGUCAGCUAAGGUCCCUAAAUGUACGUUAAGUGGUAAAGGAUGUGGGAUUGCACAGACAACCAGGAUGUUGGCUUAGAAGCAGCCACUCAUUUAAAGAGUGCGUAAUAGCUCACUGGUCGAGUGAUCCUGCGCCGAAAAUUUCCGGGGCUAAAACGUACUACCGAAGCUACGGCAUCAUUUAUGAUGGGUAGGGGAGCUUCGUAUGCAGGCUGAAGCAUGACCGUAAGGACAUGUGGACAGUAUACGAGUGAGAAUGUUGGCAUGAGUAGCGAGACGUGGGUGAGAAUCCCACGGGCCGUAAACCCAAGGUUUCCAGGGGAAGGUUCGUCCGCCCUGGGUUAGUCGGGACCUAAGCCGAGGCCGAAAGGCGUAGGUGAUGGACAACAGGUUGAUAUUCCUGUACCGCCAAUAAGCGUUUGAGAGAUGGAGUGACACAGUAGGAUAAGCUAACCGUACUGUUGGUUAUGUACGGCUAAGCAUUGAGGCAGUCUAAAUAGGCAAAUCCGUUUAGACAAUGCUAGGAUGUGAUGGGGAAGCCCUUCGGGGCGAAGUAGCUGAUUUCACACUGUCAAGAAAAGCUUCUAUCGAGUUUAAAGGCGCCCGUACCGUAAACCGACACAGGUGGGUGAGGAGAGUAUCCUAAGGCCAGCGAGAGAACUAUUGUUAAGGAACUCGGCAAAAUGACCCCGUAACUUAGGGAGAAGGGGUGCCUGUCUAUGACAGGCCGCAGAGAAUAGGCCCAAGCGACUGUUUACCAAAAACACAGGUUUCUGCUAAGUCGCAAGACGAUGUAUAGGAGCUGACGCCUGCCCGGUGCUGGAAGGUUAAGGGGAUCUGUUAGAGCAAUCGAAGCAGUGAACUUAAGCCCCAGUAAACGGCGGCCGUAACUAUAACGGUCCUAAGGUAGCGAAAUUCCUUGUCGGGUAAGUUCCGACCCGCACGAAAGGCGUAACGAUUUGGGCACUGUCUCAACAA
rnacentral:rRNA from 1 species